CUACCAUUAACAUCCUCGAUUUUUAAUGUAAAAAUUGAAUGCAUCAUGCUGAGUUUUAUUCAUAAUCUUUUAUUUAAUAAAAAAAUCCUUUUAAAAGCUUUUACCUUAAAAAGAGAAAAGAGGGUUUGAAUUGAAUUAUAUAGUUCAAGUAUCUCCCUUUCAAUCGUAUUACCAAACCUGCCUGGUGGUAUUGCAAAAAUAUCAAUUCUAUUCAUCCAUCUCAAGUUCUGAAUUUCUUUUAUAAAAUCCAAACUCCUUCUAAUUUAGGUGUUAUUCUAAAUCCUUUGCAAAUUCAAAUAUUUUCUGAACUAGUUCUAUGAGUGCACUCUUAAGUACCUCAAAUAGGUUUAGAAACCUUUUUCUACCCUUAACCUAUCCAAUCUUGGAUAUAACCACUAUUUUCCCAACUAGUUUUUGUCAAAAACGAGAAAGAGUACCUGAGUGGCCCAAAUUUUGAUCCAAAACCUUUUUUUAACUAAAUUUAAUCUCUAGAGACCUAAAUCAGCUUGUUCAAGUCCUCCUUUGCUCCCUAAACCGGCGAAGGAUUUUGUGGGCCACGGUGCGCCGUGUCGUGCCCACACCACGCCAACGCGCAUCGACACCCUCCUCCAUCACGCGCGUGCAACCACAAUGGCGCAACAUCCAUCUAUCCACCGCGCCUUGGAUACCCUACUUUCUAAGCACUAAUCUUCCCGCGAUGGAACCGGCAAGCCAAUCGCGGAGCGAUCUCAUGUGCGUGCCGUGCCCGCCACUCCUCCUCCGCUGGCCGCCAUCCUUCGACAUGGAGACAUCCCAGCGAGAAGCCCAACCAAACCAUCACCUUUCAGAGCUCAAAGAAACAUAACUUUUCCCUCUCACAUCCCCAAACAUGGCGCCGAUGAGCCGGCCGUUUUCCUCAAUGCCGCCAUUGCACGUCACACUAGGAGAGCGCCACCUCGCCGCCGCCUCCUAGGCCGUGAUUUAAAUCCCUUCCGCCACCACUUAAAAUAGAUCAUUCGUCAUCCAAUUUCACCUUCUCCUCCCUCUCUCAGCCCUCUGUUCCUAAUGGCACUAAACUCAUCCACGGCACUAAUGGCAGCCGAGUGCCGUUAUCCACCAACCAUCACCACACCAUCACACCAAAGCUCUACAUCUCCAUACAUUGCUAAGGUUGCUGUGGAGCACUGGUCUUAGUGUGCGAUCACGCUGCCGCCGCUCCAAUCCUUUCCCAGCCCCGAGAACAAGUUGAACAUCGCUUACAUGCUCUGUUUUGAUCCUUCAUCGCUACCAACUUGCUCUGUUUCGGAGUUCGAGUGCUGCCACCAGUUGCAUUUCAUUCUCCGACCAAAUCCCGAUGUGAGUCAAGAGGAGGACCCUUAUGACUACUAAAGAUUUCUACUUCCCUAGUCAAAAUAAAGUAGAACCUCAUCCAUCAUGGUUUGUAUCAAAUAUUAUCUAGCUAAAACUCUCUAUGUAAUAUUAUACCUCUUGUAAUUUGUACAUGUGUAAUGAACAUCCGGUUGUAAUAUCUGUAUCAAUGUUAAUGAUCCAGGGUUGAUAUA